GACUUUAUUUGGUUUACAACUUUUUUUUUUUUUUGUUUUCUUUUUUAUGUCUGGUUCAUCUUCUUCUUCUUCUUCAUCCGUCUGAUAUGACGAAACCCACUCAUAUCUCAAAUCUGAAUCUUCUCGGUUCCGUUCCCAGACUGAGUCCAAAUUCACCACAGCAACCUCCAGCCGCAUCUCUCCUCCUCCGAUUUGUGUUUCAUUAAGUUGUGUGUUGUUACGAGAAAUCGGCAAUGGUGUUGUACUUGUAGUGUUUCAGAGGGAGUCAUUGAAAAAUAUGGAGUGGGUAUUGGAAUUGGAUGUACUUGCAUGCAUAUGGCUAUAGAUGCAAAUGCAAGCUUUGAAACCACUUGUGUUCUCUCGCUCGCCUCUGUAUUUCCAGUACCUUCCCUGCAGUGCAGCCCAACUUUCCAUCUCGCUUUUCUCAUCUCUAUCUUCACCCACCAGAAUUCCAAAUCCAAACGGAAACUCUCACAUCGCCGAUUACCAUGUCAAUACCUUCGAAUUCACCAAAACCCAAGCCUCCUCAAUCUCAAUUCGAUUCUCAUGGGUCAUAUCCCCUGAAAAGCCCCAAUCUGUGCAUAGCUUUCUUCGAUAACUUGGAUUCUCUGAUACCCAUGUCCAAUCCGCUGUGCGUGUCUCGCCCCAGUUUUUGUUUUCUAAUAUUGACAAAACCUUGAGUCCUAAGCUCGAGUUCCUCCAACAAUUGGGUCUUUUUGGUUCUCAUCUUCCUAGGUUCAUUUCCAAGAAUUUCACACUUUUGACUAUUAGUUUGGACAGAAAGUUAGUACCCUGCAUUGAAAUUCUAAAGAAAAUCUUGGGGAUUGAUGAGAAUGGUUAAAAUUUGAUUCGGGUUUUAUGCAUAUGCAAUUGGGUAGUUGCAAAGGACCCAGAAUCGAGAUUGUUAAGAAAUAGUGCCUAUAUGGAGAGUUGUGGAAUUGUUGGUUCUCAGCUUUCCAUGCUGUUGAAGAGGCAGCCAUGGCUUUUCAUUGUUCAAGAAUCUGUACUUAGAUGCCUUGUUGCGCGGGUAGUGGAAAUGGGUUUCUCGUUGAAUUCUGGGAUGUUUGUUCAUGCUCUGUAUACUGUUAGCUGUAUGUGAAAUGGGACAAUUAGUAGAAAAUUGGACUUGCUUUGUGAUUUUGGCUUCUCAAAGGAUGAAUGCAUGGAAAUGUUUAGAAGAACACCAGGUUUGCUUAGGACCUCAGAGGAGAAGUUAAAGUUUGGAAUUGAUUUCUUCUUGAAUACGAUUAAGUUCAAAAAGUCGGUAUUAAUUCAUACACCUUGGAUUUUGAUGUAUAGCAUGGAGAACCGAGUGAGUGCUCGAUAUGGGGUUUUAGAGGUUAUAAAGUCAAAACAGUUAUUGAAGAGAGAUCCAACUUUUUAUGAUGCACUUAUUUUGCCGGAGGAUGAAUUUUUUGACAAGUUUAUAUCAAGAUUUAGAGGUGAUGCAGAGAAUUGUUGGUUAUUUACAAGACUCAUCUGCUUGAUUCUACUGACGAAGAAGAUUCUUAGUACAAUCCAAAUUUUCAUCUUCCCAGGUGGUGGUUUUGUGCCCACUGCCCAGACAGAUCUGAAAAAUUCAUUUACGCCUUGUCUGGAGAAUGAGGUGUCAGCUCAGCUUGAAGCGUGAAAAGGCGACAGUGUUUAUAGGAAAGAGAGGGCAGGCUGGGAAGUUGCUCUGCCUCUGCAUCGGUGGGAGCUUGGCGGUCUCCGUGGCAGGUAUGCAUACAGAGGCAAAAUUCAGCAAUGCAGAAUCCAAAGCCUCCGGCUCCGGGGUGCGACUUUGCACACGACUGGCUACAGUCCGGUAGCUUGCACAAAGUGGGAGGGUUGGAAACUUCCUUGCUCUUGCAAAGAUGCCAUGGCUUAACUAUGUGGCUUUUACCUGUGGAAAAUUGGACAAUUGUACAAAAAGUAAAUUGAAAAAUAGAACAUCUCUAUGUUGCC